rnacentral:tRNA from 1 species
GUGGGUACAGUUCAGUGGGUGGGCACAUGCCUGACAUGCAUGAGGCCCUGGGUUCAAUCCCCAGCACCAAAA